rnacentral:lncRNA from 1 species
AAUUCAUCAUCAUCAAAGGAGACGUCGGCGUCUUCUUCAGGCCGUGGAGCGGCGAGCUCCUGAAGGACGGUUUAGACUUCACAGUAUUAACUGGUGGAGGUUGAUGGGCAGAAGUUCAAAGGGAGGGGCUCCAACAAGAAGGAAGCAAAGGCCUACGCCGCCCUGGCCGCUCUGGAGAAGCUGUUCCCCGAAAACGACGGCGCCUCCAGCUUCUACAAAAGCGGCAUGAAGAAGAAGGUCACCUACACCGACAUGCACAUCCCGGGAUUCGGCACCAUCCGGGGAAUUCCCUCAGACUCGGGGUCCCGGGGCUGGGGGCCCAACAGAGGGGGCCGAGGCCGGGGCCGCGGUAAACCGUUCAACCCGGGACCCAACUACAGCAAAACCAACUACAGCUACGAGAGCGGCGCCAGCGCCGGAUACCAUAAACUGUACGACAACACUGCAGUGAAGCAAGAGGACGCUUCCAGCAGCACCAGCGGCUACGGCACCUUCUACCCCGAGAGCAGCUCCACCUUCUCCGCCCCGCCCACCCCAGCCCCCACCAGCAUAAAGACUGAAAGCUACCAGUCCAUGCCGCCUCCCGCGGACCAGCAGAGCCCGUACAGUUACGGCUACGGCGACGAGAAGAAGAAGAUGCUGAUCCAAGGCCCCGGGGAAGGCCAGACAGACUUCUCCAUGUUCAGCACGGCCUACCCCAGCUCUGUGACCGGAGGGCGGGGCUACAGUGGUCACGGUGGGUUAAAGGGCGGCUUGGAGCGGCCGCUGUUGCCUUUUAAGGUUUUAAAGCGCCGUUUGGUCUCCUCGCAGGCUGGGGAGAGCAGCCGUCCUGGGAGGGCCAGCAGGGGUUCACGUACCAAGGCUUCGGAGGUCGCGGCCGGGGCUCGCACUCUGGAUACAACAGCUCCAACUUCUGAUGGCGUCUCCGUCCCGGCGUUGGGACGCGUCGUCUGAAGCACCGAAGCUGCAGCGUCCUGCUGGGUUCGUGGCGCUUCGGUCCACGUCUCACUGCAUCACAUCCGUGUUUCAAGAGUGAACUUCAAGGGUUUCUGUUUUUAAUCUGCUGUAGUGGUUCUGUAGCAGAACGUAACCGGAUCCGACCUGCUCGUCGUUUGGAAGUUUUGUCUCAAUAAAGAUCUUCUCAUCUUUUUAUAAGGAAAAGUCUCUUUUCUGCCGCUUGGCGGCACCAUGUUCUGCAGAUCCCUGGCAUUUACACCCACUCAUGUUUUGUUUUCACACUUCUGUUUGGUCUAGUCUCUACUACCCCCACCUUUUUUUAACUACCCCCCCCCAUUCCAAAGGGGGAGGAGUUUAAAUCUUUAGCAACUCCAAAAAACACGCUUUACAAUACUAACUUUAUUUGUGCGUCGGCUGCUAACGAGCCAAGUUCAGAGCUUUGCACAUAUUGGGGGGUUUCUCGUGGUGGUGGGGGGGCAAUUGGAUGUUCCUGCUCCAGUCGGAGGUUUGAUUCCCAAGCGUUGCCCUCGGCUGUCAAAGAGGAAACGGGAC